rnacentral:rRNA from 1 species
ACCCGCUGAAUUUAAGCAUAUAAGUAAGCGGAGGAAAAGAAACUCAAGAGGAUUCCCUUAGUAAUGGCGAAUGAACAGGGGUAAGCUCAGAGUGGAAAUCGGGGCCUUUCUGGCUUCGAAUUGUGAUCUCGAGAUGUACAACCAGCAUGGGGUGCAGGUAUAAGCCUUUUGGAAAAGAGCACCAGCGAGGGUGAGAGUCCCAUUCGUUACCUGUAGCCCCCAGUGCAUGGUGUGCAUUCUAAGAGUCACGCUCCUCGGGAUUGGAGCGCAAAGUGGGUGGUAAAUUUCAUCUAAAGCUAAAUACGGGCCUGAGACCGAUAGCACACAAGUACCCUGAGGGAAAGGUGAAAAGGACUUUGGAAAGAGAGUUAAACAGAGCCUGCCAUUGCUGAAAGGGAAGCGAACGAAAUCAGUGUGACUGGGCGAGAUCGGGCCGUGCCAUGGUGAGCUUCUGCGAACUGGACGUGCGGCUCAUUUCUUGCCCUGUCGGUCAACAGUGCUGCAAGCGCGAGGAAAAGAGUAUUGGACUGUCAGCUCGCCUACGGGGGAGUGAAUGCCUUUGCUACUACUUGCGCGCGUAGUGCCGCUUGGCUAUAUGGUUUCUUUCGACCCGUCUUGAAACACGGACCAAGGAGUCUAACAUAUGUGCGAGUCUGCAGGUGUUUAAACCUGUUAGCGCAAUGAAAGUGACUGCUAGAAAUUGUGCACUGGCAACCGACCAAUCGCUUGAGAAAGGUUUGAGUAUGAGCAUGUCUGUUAGGACCCGAAAGAUGGUGAACUAUGCCCGUGAAGGGCAAACUCAGGGGAAACUCUGAUGGAGGCCCGUAGCGAUACUGACGUGCAAAUCGUUCGUCAUACAUGGGUAUGGGGGCGAAAGACUAAUCGAACCAUCUAGUAGCUGGUUCCCUCCGAAGUUUCCCUCAG